AUUGAACGCUGGCGGCAGGCUUAACACAUGCAAGUCGAGCGGGGGAAGGUAGCUUGCUACCGGACCUAGCGGCGGACGGGUGAGUAAUGCUUAGGAAUCUGCCUAUUAGUGGGGGACAACAUCUCGAAAGGGAUGCUAAUACCGCAUACGUCCUACGGGAGAAAGCAGGGGAUCUUCGGACCUUGCGCUAAUAGCUGAGCCUAAGUCGGAUUAGCUAGUUGGUGGGGUAAAGGCCUACCAAGGUGACGAUCUGUAGCGGGUCUGAGAGGAUGAUCCGCCACACUGGGACUGAGACACGGCCCAGACUCCUACGGGAGGCAGCAGUGGGGAAUAUUGGACAAUGGGGGGAACCCUGAUCCAGCCAUGCAGCGUGUGUGAAGAAGGCCUUAUGGUUGUAAAGCACUUUAAGCGAGGAGGAGGCUACUCUAGUUAAUACCUAGGGAUAGUGGACGUUACUCGCAGAAUAAGCACCGGCUAACUCUGUGCCAGCAGCCGCCGUAA
rnacentral:rRNA from 1 species